GGCGAGGCCGAAAGGCGUAGUCGAUGGGAAACAGGUUAAUAUUCCUGUACUUGGUGUUACUGCGAAGGGGGGACGGAGAAGGCUAUGUUGGCCGGGCGACGGUUGUCCCGGUUUAAGCGUGUAGGCUGAUUUUCCAGGCAAAUCCGGAAAAUCAAGGCUGAGGCGUGAUGACGAGGCACUACGGUGCUGAAGCAACAAAUGCCCUGCUUCCAGGAAAAGCCUCUAAGCAUCAGGUAACAUCAAAUCGUACCCCAAACCGACACAGGUGGUCAGGUAGAGAAUACCAAGGCGCUUGAGAGAACUCGGGUGAAGGAACUAGGCAAAAUGGUGCCGUAACUUCGGGAGAAGGCACGCUGAUAUGUAGGUGAAGCGACUUGCUCGUGGAGCUGAAAUCAGUCGAAGAUACCAGCUGGCUGCAACUGUUUAUUAAAAACACAGCACUGUGCAAACACGAAAGUGGACGUAUACGGUGUGACGCCUGCCCGGUGCCGGAAGGUUAAUUGAUGGGGUUAGCGGUAACGCGAAGCUCUUGAUCGAAGCCCCGGUAAACGGCGGCCGUAACUAUAACGGUCCUAAGGUAGCGAAAUUCCUUGUCGGGUAAGUUCCGACCUGCACGAAUGGCGUAAUGAUGGCCAGGCUGUCUCCACCCGAGACUCAGUGAAAUUGAACUCGCUGUGAAGAUGCAGUGUACCCGCGGCAAGACGGAAAGACCCCGUGAACCUUUACUAUAGCUUGACACUGAACAUUGAGCCUUGAUGUGUAGGAUAGGUGGGAGGCUUUGAAGUGUGGACGCCAGUCUGCAUGGAGCCGACCUUGAAAUACCACCCUUUAAUGUUUGAUGUUCUAACGUUGGCCCCUGAUCGGGGUUGCGGACAGUGUCUGGUGGGUAGUUUGACUGGGGCGGUCUCCUCCUAAAGAGUAACGGAGGAGCACGAAGGUUGGCUAAUCCUGGUCGGACAUCAGGAGGUUAGUGCAAUGGCAUAAGCCAGCUUGACUGCGAGCGUGACGGCGCGAGCAGGUGCGAAAGCAGGUCAUAGUGAUCCGGUGGUUCUGAAUGGAAGGGCCAUCGCUCAACGGAUAAAAGGUACUCCGGGGAUAACAGGCUGAUACCGCCCAAGAGUUCAUAUCGACGGCGGUGUUUGGCACCUCGAUGUCGGCUCAUCACAUCCUGGGGCUGAAGUAGGUCCCAAGGGUAUGGCUGUUCGCCAUUUAAAGUGGUACGCGAGCUGGGUUUAGAACGUCGUGAGACAGUUCGGUCCCUAUCUGCCGUGGGCGCUGGAGAACUGAGGGGGGCUGCUCCUAGUACGAGAGGACCGGAGUGGACGCAUCACUGGUGUUCGGGUUGUCAUGCCAAUGGCACUGCCCGGUAGCUAAAUGCGGAAGAGAUAAGUGCUGAAAGCAUCUAAGCACGAAACUUGCCCCGAGAUGAGUUCUCCCUGACUCCUUGAGAGUCCUGAAGGAACGUUGAAGACGACGACGUUGAUAGGCCGGGUGUGUAAGCGCAGCGAUGCGUUGAGCUAACCGGUACUAAUGAACCGUGAGGCUUAACCUUACAAC
rnacentral:rRNA from 1 species